ACCUGGGUGGCUCAGUCGGUUAAGCGUCUGACUUUGGCUCAGGUCAUGAUCUCGUUGUCCGUGGGUUCGAGCCCCGCGUCGGGCU
rfam:Felis catus isolate Cinnamon breed Abyssinian chromosome A2, whole genome shotgun sequence.